UACGAAGGGGGCUAGCGUUGUUCGGAUUUACUGGGCGUAAAGCGCACGUAGGCGGAUCGUUAAGUCAGGGGUGAAAUCCUGGAGCUCAACUCCAGAACUGCCUUUGAUACUGAGGAUCUUGAGUUCGGGAGAGGUGAGUGGAACUGCGAGUGUAGAGGUGAAAUUCGUAGAUAUUCGCAAGAACACCAGUGGCGAAGGCGGCUCACUGGCCCGAUACCUGACGCUGAGGCACGAAAGCGUGGGAGCAAACAGGG
rnacentral:rRNA from 1 species